UUCUUAUCCAGAGAGGUGGAGGGACUGGCCCUUUGAUACCUCGGCAACAGACCGCAUGCGGUACUGUGCCAAUUCCAGAAGCAUAGCGCUUGAAGAUAAGAA
rnacentral:ncRNA from 1 species